rnacentral:rRNA from 1 species
AACGAACGCUGGCGGCAUGCCUAACACAUGCAAGUCGAACGAGACCUUCGGGUCUAGUGGCGCACGGGUGCGUAACGCGUGGGAAUCUGCCCUUGGGUUCGGAAUAACAGUUAGAAAUGACUGCUAAUACCGGAUGAUGUCUUCGGACCAAAGAUUUAUCGCCCAAGGAUGAGCCCGCGUAAGAUUAGCUUGUUGGUGAGGUAAAAGCUCACCAAGGCGACGAUCUUUAGCUGGUCUGAGAGGAUGAUCAGCCACACUGGGACUGAGACACGGCCCAGACUCCUACGGGAGGCAGCAGUGGGGAAUAUUGGACAAUGGGCGAAAGCCUGAUCCAGCAGUGCCGCGUGAGUGAUGAAGGCCUUAGGGUUGUAAAGCUCUUUUACCCGGGAUGAUAAUGACAGUACCGGGAGAAUAAGCCCCGGCUAACUCCGUGCCAGCCGCCGCUGUAAAAC